rnacentral:lncRNA from 1 species
GACCCCCGUGACACCUGACGGGACCACCAUGGCCACCCAAGAGACCACUGUGGCCAUCCAAGAGACCACUGUGGCCACCCCAGUGACCACCACAAUACCUGAUGAGACCACCGUGGACACCCAAGAGACCACUGUGGACACCCAAGAGACCACUGUGGAUACCCAAGAGACCACUGUGGCCACCCCAGUGACCACCACAAUACCUGAUGGGACCACUGUGGCCACCCAAGAGACCACUGUGGCCACCCAAGAGACCACUGUGGAUACCCAAGAGACCACCAUGGAUACCCAAGAGACCACUGUGGCCACCCCAGUGACCACCACAAUACCUGAUGGGACCACCAUGGACACCCAAGAAACCCCCACGUCACCCACCACCACCCUGGAGCCCACCACGGUCACCCAGGUCACCCCACCGUCACCCACCACCACUCUGGAGCCCACCACGGAAACCUCCAGCACCCCGGAGACCUCCACCUCCACCCUGGUGACCACCACGGCAACGCCCACCAUCACUGUGGAGACCUCUACAAGCAGCCGGGUGACCCCUACGACAUCCGUGACCACCCUGGGGACCCUCACGGCAUCCACCAUCACCCAAGGGACCCCCACAACCACCUCGAGGACCUCCACGACCACCCUGAGGACCUCCACAACAACAUCCACCGCUCAAGGGACCACCACGACCACUCGGGUGACCCCCACGGCGCCCACCACCACCAAGGUGACCACCACGGGUCCUCCUCCAGGGCUGUGUGAGAACGGGGGGACCCCCGGUGGCACCGGCUGUCUCUGCACCCCGUCCUACGCCGGUCCCCGCUGCGAGUUCUCCACCGACACCAUCGAGACCAACCUGCGUGAGUGACACGGCCACCCCACAGCCGGGGGACAUCUCCAGGGUCCUGGUCUUCUUGGAGAUCCUGGUCCUCUUGAGGGUCCUCAGCACUUUGGGGGUCCUGGUCCUCUUGGGAGUCCUCAGCACCUUGGGGGUCCUCAGCACCUUGGAGAUCCUGGUCUUCUUGGGGGUCCUGGUCUUCUUGGAGAUCCCUCAACACUUUAGGGGUCCUGAUCUCUUGGGGAUCCUGGACACCCUGGAGGUCCUGGUCUCUUGGGGUUCCUGACCAUCCCAAAGGUCCUGGUCACUUUGGGGGUCCUGGACACCCUGGAGGUCUCCUGGUCACUUUGGGGGUCCUGGACACCCUGGAGGUCUCCUGGUCACUUUGGAGGUCAUGGACACCCUGGAGGUCCAGGUCACUUUGGGGGUCCUGGACACCCUGGAGGUCUCCUGGUCACUUUGGGGGUCCUGGACACCCUGGAGGUCUC